GAUGAACGCUGGCGGCGUGCCUAACACAUGCAAGUCGAGCGAACGGACGAGAAGCUUGCUCCUCUGAUGUUAGCGGCGGACGGGUGAUUAACUCGUGGUUAACCUACCUAUAAGACUGGGAUAACUUCGGGAAACCGGAGCUACUACCGGAUAAUAUUUUGAACCGCAUUGUUCAAAAGUUAAAGACGGUCUUGCUGUCACUUAUAGCUGGAUCCGCGCUGCAUUCGCUAGUUGGUAAGGUAACGGCUUACCAAGGCAACGAUGCAUAGCCGACCUGAGAGGGUGAUCGGCCACACUGGAACUGAGACACGGUCCAGACUCCUACGGGAGGCAGCAGUAGGGAAUCUUCCGCAAUGGGCGAAAGCCUGACGGAGCAACGCCGCGUGAGUGAUGAUGGUCUUCUGAUCGUAAAACUCUGUUAUUAUUGAAGAUCAUAUGUGUAAGUAACUGUGCUCAUCUUGACGGUACCUAAUCAGAAAGCCACGGCUAACUACGUG
rnacentral:rRNA from 1 species